rnacentral:rRNA from 1 species
CUUGGUCAUUUAGAGGAAGUAAAAGUCGUAACAAGGUUUCCGUAGGUGAACCUGCGGAAGGAUCAUUACCUAGAGUUGUAGGCUUUGCCUGCUAUCUCUUACCCAUGUCUUUUGAGUACCUUCGUUUCCUCGGCGGGUUCGCCCGCCGAUUGGACAAUUUAAACCAUUUGCAGUUGCAAUCAGCGUCUGAAAAAACAUAAUAGUUACAACUUUCAACAACGGAUCUCUUGGUUCUGGCAUCGAUGAAGAACGCAGCGAAAUGCGAUAAGUAGUGUGAAUUGCAGAAUUCAGUGAAUCAUCGAAUCUUUGAACGCACAUUGCGCCCCUUGGUAUUCCAUGGGGCAUGCCUGUUCGAGCGUCAUUUGUACCUUCAAGCUCUGCUUGGUGUUGGGUGUUUGUCUCGCCUCUGCGCGUAGACUCGCCUCAAAACAAUUGGCAGCCGGCGUAUUGAUUUCGGAGCGCAGUACAUCUCGCGCUUUGCAUUCAGAACGACGACGUCCAAAAGUACAUUUUUACACUCUUGACCUCGGAUCAGGUAGGGAUACCCGCUGAACUUAAGCAUAUCAAUAAGCGGAGGA